UCAGACAUGGUGUAGUGGGAACACGGCCUCUACUUGUGAUCCAAUAUUCUAGGUGUCAGAGGGAGUUCAGGGUUCGAAUCCCUGUGUCUGAA